rnacentral:rRNA from 1 species
AACGUAGGAGGCAAGCGUUAUCCGGAUUUACUGGGCGUAAAGGGCGUGCAGGUGGUUUUCUAAGUGGUGCGUGAAAGCGCUCGGCUCAACCGGGCGAGGGCGUGCCAAACUGGGGGACUAGAAACAGGCAGAGGAAAGUGGAAUUCGGGGUGUAGUGGUGAAAUGCGUAGAGAUCCCGAGGAACUCCUGUGGCGAAGGCGGGUCUCUGGGCAGUAACUGACGCUGAGGAGCGAAAGCGUGGGGAGCGAACAGG